GAUGAAGAACGCAUCGAAAUGCGAUAAGUAAUGUGAAUUGCAGAAUUCAGUGAAUCAUCGAGUCUUUGAACGCACAUUGCGCCCCCUGGUAUUCCGGGGGGCAUGCCUGUCCGAGCGUCAUUGCUGCCCUCAAGCACGGCUUGUGUGUUGGGCCCCCGUCCCCGGUUCUCCCCGGGGACGGGCCCGAAAGGCAGCGGCGGCACCGCGUCCGAUCCUCGAGCGUAUGGGGCUUUGUCACCCGCUCUGUAGGCCCGGCCGGCGCCAGCCGACACCCCAACUUUAUUUUCUAAGGUUGACCUCGGAUCAGGUAGGGAUACCCGCUGAACUUAAGCAUAUCAAUAAGCGGAGGA
rnacentral:misc_RNA from 1 species